GACGCAGGGUGCGAGCGUUAAUCGGAAUUACUGGGCGUAAAGCGCAUGUAGGCGGCCGAACAAGUCAGGUGGGAAAUCCACGGGCUUAACCUGGGAAGUGCACUUGAUACUGUCCGGCUAGAGUUUGGCAGAGGAAAGUAGAAUUCCCGGUGUAGCGGUGAACUGCGUAGAUAUCGGGAGGAAUACCAGUGGCGAAGGCGGCUUUCUGAGCCAAUACUGACGCUGAUGUGCGAAAGCGUGGGGAGCAAACAGU
rnacentral:rRNA from 1 species